GCACAUUCCAUUGCCUUAUUCAAUUUAUUAUACUUAAAUAAAUUUACUAAUAAAUCCACCUUCCUCCGAUUUUUAAACCUAAAAUCCGUAUUUUUUUACUUAAAAUUGUAGCUCAUCGCUACCUUUCCAUAAGCUGCACCUUGACCUGAAGUAGGAAAAAUAUUUUUAUAGAAAACAUUCUUUUAAAGUAGUCUGACAACGGCGGUAUACAAGCUAAACAAGAAAAGGUAAGAUAAAAUGAGGUCUAUCAAUUAUAGGACAAGCUCCUCUAUUAGGAUGGGAUGCCGCCAAAAUCUUUGGGUUUGAAGAACAUCUUUUACUACCCUACNCAUANGAUUAUUUAGA
rnacentral:rRNA from 1 species